UUUAUUUGUUUUAAGUCAAACUUGUUUAACUUUGACUAAAUUUAUAUAAAAAUAUAAGAACAAUUAUACUAUCAAACAUAUGCACUAUCAAAAUAUGUUUCACGGUAGAUUCAACCAAACAAGUUUGGUAUUAUAAAUAUUAUUAUAUUUUUCUGUAAACUUGGUCAAAGUUGAACAGGUUUGAUUUAGGACAAACCAAA
rnacentral:pre_miRNA from 1 species